rnacentral:rRNA from 1 species
UGGGGAAUAUUGGACAAUGGGCGAAAGCCUGAUCCAGCAACGCCGCGUGAGGGAUGACGGCCUUCGGGUUGUAACCUCUUUCAGUACCGACGAAGCGCAAGUGACGGUAGGUACAGAAGAAGCACCGGCCAACUACGUGCCAGCAGCCGCGGUAAUACGUAGGGUGCGAGCGUUGUCCGGAAUUAUUGGGCGUAAAGGGCUCGUAGGCGGUUUGUCGCGUCGGGAGUGAAAACUCAGGGCUUAACCCUGAGCCUGCUUCCGAUACGGGCAGACUAGAGGUAUGCAGGGGAGAACGGAAUUCCUGGUGUAGCGGUGAAAUGCGCAGAUAUCAGGAGGAACACCGGUGGCGAAGGCGGUUCUCUGGGCAUUACCUGACGCUGAGGAGCGAAAGUGUGGGGAGCGAACAGGAUUAGAUACCCUGGUAGUCCACACCGUAAACGUUGGGCGCUAGGUGUGGGACUCAUUCCACGAGUUCCGUGCCGCAGCUAACGCAUUAAGCGCCCCG